rnacentral:rRNA from 1 species
AGGAUAAACGCUGGCGGCGUGCCUAACACAUGCAAGUCGAACGCGCUUUCGGGCUUCGGUGCGAGAGCGAGUGGCGGACGGGUGAGUAACACAUGGGUACCUACCUUGGAGUGAGGGAUACCGGCGAGAAAUCGCCGACAAUACCGCAUAGGCUUCUUCACAAGGGAAGCAAAGUGACGCGAGUCACGCUGUGAGAUGGGCCUGUGGCCGAUUAGCUAGUUGGGGGGUAACGGCUUCCCAAGGCGACGAUCGGUAGCUGGUCUGAGAGGACGAUCAGCCACACUGGGAUUGAGAACGGCCCAGACUCCUACGGGGGCAGCAGUGAGGAAUUUUCCGCAAUGGAGGCAACUCUGACGGAGCAACGCCGCGUGCAGGAGGAAGGUUUUCGGAUCGUAAACUGCUUUUCUCGGGGACGAGCGAAGGACGGUACCCGAGGGAAGAACGCCCCGGCUAACGUACGCCGACCAGCAGCCGC